GCGAGCAUAGUUUUAAUUCAAACAUUAGACUGUGAUCCUAAAAAUAGAAGUUAAAAUCUUCUUGCUCGCC
rnacentral:tRNA from 1 species